rnacentral:RNase_P_RNA from 2 species
GGGGCGGGUCAGGCCACCGCCUCGCCGCGCCCAAGGGCGCGGCUGGGAGGAAAGUCCGGGCUCCACAGAGCAUGAAGCCGGGCAGCCCCCGGGCGCCGUGAAAGCGGCGACAGAAAGUGCCACAGAAAACAUACCGCCUUACGCGGGCCGAAAGGCCCGCUGAGGUAAGGGUGAAAAGGCGGGGUAAGAGCCCACCGCCCGCCCGGCGACGGGCGGGGCACGGAAAACCUCUUCAGGAGCAAAGUCAAGCAGCAGGCGGGCAGGCUCUGAGCAAUGCGCCUGCGGGUGGACUGCAGGAAGGCGGGGCGGUGACGCCCGGCCCCAGACAGAUGGUGGCCCAACGACAGAACCCGGCUUACCGGUCCGCUCCUUCC